UCCCUGGAGGACUAGUGGUUAGGCCUCGGUGCUCUCACUGCUGCAGCCCAGGUUCAAUUCCCUGCCAGGGAA
rnacentral:tRNA from 1 species